UGGGGAAUAUUGCACAAUGGAGGAAACUCUGAUGCAGCGACGCCGCGUGAACGAUGAAGGCCUUCGGGUCGUAAAGUUCUGUCCUAGGGGACGAUAAUGACGGUACCCUAGGAGGAAGCCCCGGCUAACUACGUGCCAGCAGCCGCGGUAAUACGUAGGGGGCGAGCGUUGUCCGGAAUUAUUGGGCGUAAAGGGUUCGUAGGCGGUAAUUUAAGUCAGAUGUGAAAGGCGCAGGCUCAACCUGUGUAAGCAUUUGAAACUGGAUUACUUGAGUUAAGGAGAGGAAAGUGGAAUUCCUAGUGUAGCGGUGAAAUGCGUAGAUAUUAGGAGGAAUACCAGUGGCGAAGGCGACUUUCUGGACUUAUACUGACGCUGAGGAACGAAAGCGUGGGGAGCAAACAGG
rnacentral:rRNA from 2 species